CUUGAAGGAGAAUACUUUAAGUUUUGCUGCAGAUAUAAAUAUGGGCUCAAACACAAGCAUCCUCAUUCAGUGUUUUGUGUUGAGUCUGAGGAGUUCGAUGAAAAAUAUUUAAAUUCAGUUUUUAGUCUUCCAUCCAAAUUCAAUACAACUUGUGAGAAUCCUGGCUGAGCAACGGCACUUCGAGAAAUGAUUAGUGAGCGUGUUUCUCAUUUACGCGAAACAUAUUUGCUCGGUCAUGGAAGAGAAGAUAGUUUUCACACUUCAUACCAUACUAUCCAUUCGGACUCAUUGAACUACUUUGCCACUCAUCAUCGAACAUUGAAUCGCCAAAAAUAACGUUGGAAGACCUCAAACGCAGUUUCGGCCAUUGGACAAAAUUGUGAUUUUUCAUAGUUUAGGUUCAACGAAUAAAAAAUACAAUAGACAAUAUUUGGUGAAUGGCUUUUGAAUGUCUUGUGGGGUAUAUUGAGAAUGUUUUAUGGCCUGUUGUUGCGAUUUUGCAUAAUUUUUUUUUGUGACUGAAUACUGGACAUAUUAAUAAUUGACAAAAUUUUUUUUUGCCUAUUAAUUGAUUUAUUUUCUUGAAACUAUUUAUAGACAAGAACGUUGACAAUUAGUUUUAAAAUAUUUGAAAUACUGCUGAGCAAACAUUAAAGCAUAAAAUACUACUUCCCA